GAUGAACGCUAGCGGCAGGCUUAAUACAUGCAAGUCGAGGGGCAGCAUGACUGUAGCAAUACAGUUGAUGGCGACCGGCAAACGGGUGCGGAACACGUACAGAACCUUCCUUCGAGCGGGGAAUAGCCCAGAGAAAUUUGGAUUAAUACCCCAUAGUAUAUUAGAGUGGCAUCACUUUGAUAUUAAAGAUUUAUCACUUGAAGAUGGCUGUGCGGCUGAUUAGGUAGUUGGCGGGGUAACGGCCCACCAAGCCUUCGAUCAGUAACUGGUGUGAGAGCACGACCAGUCACACGGGCACUGAGACACGGGCCCGACUCCUACGGGAGGCAGCAGUAAGGAAUAUUGGUCAAUGGACGAAAGUCUGAACCAGCCAUGCCGCGUGGAGGAUGAAGGUCCUCUGGAUUGUAAACUUCUUUUCUUUGGGAAUAAAAACUCCGUUUCUACGGAGCUUGAAGGUACCGGAGGAAUAAGCACCGGCUAACUCCGUGCCAGCA
rnacentral:rRNA from 1 species